AGAAUCAGUUGCCGGUCGGAAGGAGGUGGCGCAGGAUAGCGUGACCGGGGCUGUGUCUGGGGCAGCGCUGCCGGAUGGGUGCUGAUGCUGUGGGAUCUGCUCAUAGGCUGGAAUUUUGGAUCGAACCCUCCCUCAGCUUUGUCCACGGGGCCGUGUUUGGUUUGGAGGAGAGGGGUGGUCAAGGGGACCGUCGCCCGCAUGUGGCGGCUGCCAGAUGUGCCGGCUGGUGUGCGGCUGUCUGCCGGCUCCGUCGGGACGCGGCGGAGGAUGGCGAGCAGAUGGCGGGGAGAUAACACCUCCCCGGCUCUCCGAUAAGCAUGACCCCGUUCUGCCGCUGAUUAAAAGAUUAAUUUUGGAGUUUGAAA